rnacentral:rRNA from 1 species
AGCGAUGCCUCAGUACGGCGAGUGAAGCGGCAAAAGCUCAAAUUGAAAUCCCGCGGGAGUUGUAAUUUGAAGGCCCGCACCAGAAGGUAAAAAGUCCAUUGGAAUAUGGCGCCAUAGAGGGUGACAGCCCCGUUAACAGACUAUUACAGUGCGGCGCCAAAGAGUCGAGUUGUUUGGGAAUGCAGCUCAAAGUGGGUGGUAAAUUCCAUCUAAAGCUAAAUAUUGGCGAGAGACCGAUAGCGAACAAGUACAGUGAUGGAAAGAUGAAAAGCACUUUGAAAAGAGAGUGAAAAAGUACGUGAAAUUGUUAAAAGGGAAGGGGAGCGGGAGAAUUUAGGAAGUGGUGCGGGGUCUAGUGAUAGCAAACUGUCUCAGUGCGACCGGUUUGCUGGAGCAAACCUUGCGCCCUGUCUCCCCCUCCCACCCGUCUUGAACACGGACCA